rnacentral:rRNA from 1 species
AUGGAAGAAGAUCAGGUUAAAUUAGCAGCACUCAUCGCGGAGCUAGAGGAGCCAGUUGGUCUUUGCGACUUGCCAGCAAUUGACCCUCCUAAUACUAAGAGAAAGAAGGGAAGGGCAAUAAAGAAUUUUUCUGAGUGGAUAGAGAAAGAGCCUCCAAUGAAUUGGUCUUUGCUGCAUGACACACAUGGAGCUAGGUAUGGCCACAUGACAACCAAUCUUGCAGAGGUGUAUAACUUUGUGCUGAGAGGGAAUAGAGCAUUGCCACUCACAGCUAUUGUGGAGGCUGUAUUCCAUGGCACUUUGAGAUAUUUCAGAGAAAGGCACGAGUUAGCAAAGAAGCAUAUUGAAGCUAAUCAGAACACACCUUAUUGUAGCCGUGUCCUGGAAUACAUGGAAAAGAAGAUAGAGAAAGCAAAGAAGCACAGUGUCAGACUCAUAGGGAAUCAAGAAACGAGGUAUGAGGUUCAGCUUCCUACUGAUGGUUUUGGUUCUGGAAAUGAGGUGAAGACACACGAGGUUAAAAUUGGAACGGAAUUUUAUCCAACGUGUGAGUGUACAUGCAACAAACCUAAGUUGCUGCACCUACCUUGCUCUCAUGUGUUGGCUGCCUGUGGCCAGAUUCAGUUGGAUGCUAUAUCCUUCGUGUCCCCAUACUAUUUAAAAGAGGCAGUGCUCAACACCUGGACAGGCGAGAUGACAGGGUUUAGAGUCGUCGGCAAUUUCAACAAGGUAAACGACGGUGAGAGAGUAUACAUCCCGCAUCCAGACCUUCGGCGAACAAGUAGGGGCAGACGAAAGGCCCGUCGCAUCCGGAACGAUAUGGACCAGUCUGAAGCUGGUGGAGCAACCAGACAAUGUUUGUUAUGCGCGGCUUAUGGGCAUAGGAUGAAAUAU